GCCUCAGUAUGGUAUCCUUCGCAAUGGAAGGGUGAAAAGGGAAGGCGGUUAAAGGCCGCCGCAGCCCCCGCUACUGUAAGGGCGGGCGCAAUUUAUCCGAUUCAACUCGGAUAUCUAUACGCGCCGUUUUCUGCCGCAGCGCUUAAAUGUGCAGUCACUGGCCGUAAAAGCAGGCCGGGAAGGCGCGGCAGAAAAAAGCCUAAGCCAGGAGACCUGCCUGCUGA
rnacentral:ncRNA from 1 species